rfam:Salmo salar isolate Sally breed double haploid chromosome ssa18, whole genome shotgun sequence.
UUGAAAAGAUAUUGUAAGUCACUCUGGAUAAGAGUGUCUGCUAAAUUAUUAAAA